rnacentral:rRNA from 1 species
UACGUAGGUGGCAAGCGUUGUCCGGAUUUACUGGGCGUAAAGAGCGCGUAGGCGGUCGUGCAAGUCGCGUGUGAAAGCCCCCGGCUCAACUGGGGAGGGUCACGCGAUACUGAUCGACUCGAAGGCAGGAGAGGGUAGUGGAAUUCCCGGUGUAGUGGUGAAAUGCGUAGAUAUCGGGAGGAACACCAGUGGCGAAGGCGACUACCUGGCCUGUUUCUUGACGCUGAGGCGCGAAAGCUAGGGGAGCAAACGGG